UCACAGGACUUACUGGCAUGGAGGGCAUUAAGGGCACAACAAGAUGAGGAAUUUCAACAAUGUGUUCUGAUAGACAGAGAACAAGAAAUGAGGCGUAGACAAGUUUGUGAACUGGAGAGGCGCAGAAGACAAAAAAUAGGUGAACGAAGGCAGAGAUUGAGUUUGGUCCUUGAGCCAGUUAAAGUUUUCAGAUGGUCAGUUGCAGAGGAGAAGAUUUUUGACUUCACAGCCAUUCCAGGAUUUGGUGGCAUUUGCAGGUGUCAAUGACAUGGCCAGUGAAGUAUUUUCAUUACAGCUGGCCAUGUCACCAACACCAAUGUUAAGCACUUUGACUGGCACUCUGGAGGUAAAUGGGAUUUCUGAGUCCUGUACAUUGUACGUUCUAUGGAUGUCAGGAGAUGAU